rnacentral:rRNA from 1 species
AAUAUUGGACAAUGGGGGCAACCCUGAUCCAGCCAUGCCGCGUGUGUGAAGAAGGUANNNGGAUUNUCAAGCACUUCAAGCUGNGAGNAAGGGCUUUAGGCUAAUACCCUGAAGAUUUUACGUUACCAACAGAAUAAGCACAGGCUAACUCUGUACCAGCAGCCGCGGUAAUACAGAGGGUGCAAGCGUUAAUCGGAAUUACUGGGCGUAAAGCGCGCGUAGGUGGUUCAGUAAGAUGGGUGUGAAAUCCCCGGGCUUAACCUGGGAACUGCUUUCAUAACUGCUGAGCUAGAGUACGGUAGAGAGUAGUGGAAUUUCCUGUGUAGCGGUGAAAUGCGUAGAUAUAGGAAGGAACACCAGUGGCGAAGGCGACUACCUGGACUGAUACUGACACUGAGGUGCGAAAGCGUGGGGAGCAAAC